GCUCAACAUAAACUUUUCCUCCCCUAAAAUUGUUCUGACCAGAUCUUUUAGUCACAGUAGUGAAAAAGCUGACUGAAGCAUCAAGUAAGAUGGAGAAGACAGUGGGAGAGGCAGACAGGGAGGAUCUUCAGGAAUCCAAUGAGUAUUAGACAUCUAAUCGAGAUUCUGGAGAGACUUUGGAUAUGAGUCUGGAGUUCAAGGGACAGGUCAUGGCUGGAGACAUAAAUUUAUGACUCAUCAGUAUACAAAGGCAUUAACGCCAUGAGAUUGAUGAAAUCACCAAAGUAGUGAGUAUAUUCAUAGAGUAAAGCCCUGAGGGCAGAGCCCUCAAACUCUCCUAUAUUUCCACACUCGGUAAAUGAGAAACGAGUCAAAGAGACUGAAAUGGCUGCUGGUGAGGAAAAAGGAAAAUAAAGAAAGAAGAGGGUUGGACCACCGGAGAACUCUCAGGUCCUGCUGAAAGAGCAUGGGGGAAGAGAGCCAAGAACUCACCAUGAGAUUUAAAAACAGAGAGGUUCUUGGUGUCCUUGACAAAUGGAUUUCAAUGCACCCGUGGGAUGACCACCCGGCUGGUUCAAGACAGAGUGAGAAAAAAUAAAAUCUCAGACUUCCUGUAACCUACCAGAGGCAGCAAACCUGAGACGGGGAAGCUCCGGAUGUUAAACUCUUCUACUUCCAAUAAACUUAAAACCAUCUUUUUUCUCCAUCCUCCAAAGCAGUUUUAAAAAAUACAUUCAUUGACAAUAUUAAUUCUUACUAGUACUAGUUGAUGGCUUUCUGCUAUACUAAUUUCAGGGAUUUAAACAAAAAGUAUCAUAUUAUUUUUCUUAAGCUUACCAGUAAUCUGCAGGUAAAUUCUAAUGAGAACAUCAAGUCAAACACUGGAGUUGCUCCUUUAAAUUAGCAGAGAGCAAUGACAUCAAAAUCAUGGAAACACCCUACCCAUCUGAGAUUCUGUAUCUAGGGCCAAUCUAACCCUUCUUAGUCACUGCUGCAAAGCAGAUCAUGAGUCUGAAUGAACCUCAGAAGGAGAAAAAGAAAAAUAUAAGGACAUGACACAAAGAAUCCUAAUAAACCCUAAGAAUUUUCUGACACUAAAACUUCAGCUUUUUCCUUACUUUAAAACCCUAAAAUGACUAUUGCUUUGUGUUCAGUCCUUUACAUAUCUUGAUAUUUCUUCUGUUGCACCUCCUCCCUCUACCAUGUCCAAUGCACUACUUUAUAAGAAAAUGACAGAAGUUUAAAUUUUAAUGUGUAUUUUAUGUUGAUGAUUUCAACAGAAUGGUCCACCUUACAGCUUCUGCAUAGUAAGAUGUGUAAUAACCAUCCUGAUCUAUUUAUUCCAUAAUCCUAACACAAGAGUUCAGCCAGCUCAGUUGAGUCUCAUUCCAUAAACUGAAAGAUGAGAGUGACCACAACUGCAAGAAGUGGCCAUUAUCCAGUAUCAUAAUAUUACAAAAUAGUUUAGAAACACCUAAUGGGAAAUUGCUAGUGACAGCCACUUUUGCUUCUAGUUUUAACUUGUGACUCAUUCUGUUUAACAAUCUACUUCAUUUAUAAGCAUCAAUGAAGAACUAUUUUGCUUGACACAUUAGCAAAUUUUAAGUGCAUAGAAUCACAAAAAUUUAAUCCAAGUGAACUGUAAAUUCUUGUAAUAAUGGAGCUUCAAUAAAGCUUGAAAAAAUUAA